rnacentral:lncRNA from 1 species
GACAGAAUCACCCAUAGUUUGCCAUAUCAGGGUUUUCUGCCAGUCCUCAAAAAUCUCCUUAAGUCUCUGGGCUUUACCCAAAUAAACCAGAAGGUGGCAUAGUUGCUACCACAGAGAAACCAAAUUUAAAAAAAAAACAAAAAAAAAAAAAACAAAAAAAAAUGGGGACGGAAAAAGCCUCAUGUCUGAGAAUCGAAACUGCAAAGCUGUCAGCUUUUUUUUCCCCCCCACUUCCUUAAAACCUGCCAGCAUCAGACACACCCUGGUGUUUCUCAACCAGUUUGAGCUGCUAUAAAGGUUGAAGAGUGGCUAUUUGAACUUUCAUCAAGACUAAGUGAAGUUGCUUUUCUCCGACAUCUCAAGACAAAGAAAAUACAGACACCAGACAUUUUUUUUUCAUCAAAACACACAGUUUUUCCUCUUUUUUUUCAAACAGAAGAUAUUCAAAAGUUUGGUGGGAACCUCAGUGACGUCUGUGACCUACGACCUAACACUGGGCAGUGGGACUCCUUUCCCUGAUUCUCUAGUCAGUUUUGGUAAGUUAUCUAUUUCAUGUCACUUUUUAAAGUUUAUCUACCUUCCGUUGGUUGUAGUAUCCUCUGAUUCACUUAAUUUUUUGAUGUAGCAUCUGGUGAGUUCUUCCAUUGUUCUUUUAUUCUUGGAGGAGUCUUCCACAUGUCUGUCAAUUUUAUCACCUUUUAUUAUUGAGUACCACUUUUGGGCUUUGCUGUGUACCUCCAUUGUGACUGUGUUUUCUACUUCUCUCUUUAAAUUUCUUCUUUUAAGUUAUAUUUUCUUACUCUUUCUUCCCUGUUUAUGUUUACUGUGUUUCACUUUAAACUCACUAAGUUAUCAGUCAUUCUUUUACUUUUGUAAAAGCUUAUAGCCCCACAGACAACGUUGAUACUGUUUCUUUCAAGUUUCUAUACUCAAUAUUUUCAUUACUGUUUAAUUUAAAUGUUUUCCCUCUAAUGGAUGCCUUUCUAGUUUUGCAUUGUUUUUUAAAUUCAACUUCAUUUGCAAUCUCCAGCAUCUGCAUGUAGUUGUAAGAAAUUUUCAUAUAGUCAAUUUUCAUAUAGUCCAUAUACCUUUUAUCAAGGUUCCUACUGGUAAAGUCUUUCAACACUGCAGUACAACAUCACACUGACCUUUGUUUAUUCAAAACACAAGCACUGCCACACAGACAUCCCUCUUGUGGGUCUUUCUAGCUGUGCUCACUCCUCAUACUCCAUCUCUCCUUAAUUCCAUCUCUCCUAAUCUACUGUCCAUUAUUAUGGCCUUGCCAUUUCAAGAAUACAUGUAAGUGGAAGUGUAAAGACUGUGACAUUAGGGGUUGGCUUUUUCC